GUUCAGCUCGGCCUCUGUGCACAGACGCCGCAGUUGGCAGCGAAGCCAGGCUCCCGUCGGUUCUGCGUGGAGGAUGGCGGUGCCUGAGCCGCCGCUGCCGCUGUCGCGGGGAGGCCCAGGCUCCGCUUCGCUCUCGCCGCCCCGGGGCGACCGCACCCUCCUCGUCCGGCACUUGCCGGCCGAGCUGACGGCUGAGGAGAAGGAGGACCUGCUCAAGUACUUCGGGGCGCAGUCGGUGCGCGUCCUGUCGGAUAAGGGGCGCCUGAAACAUACAGCAUUUGCGACUUUUCCUAAUGAAAAAGCAGCAAUAAAGGCAUUGACAAGACUCCAUCAGCUGAAACUUCUAGGUCACACGUUAGUUGUUGAAUUUGCAAAAGAGCAAGAUCGAGCUCAUUCACCAUGUCCCACCUCAAAUACAGAGAAAAAGAAAAGGUUGGAUGACACUGUGGAAGAUGAUAAAGAAAAGAAGGAACCUGACCUUUUAACAAUAGAGAAUGGAAUUGCACCAAAUCACGGGUUAACCUUUCCUCUAAAUUCAUGCCUCAAAUAUAUGUAUCCACCACCUUCAAGCACAAUCCUUGCAAAUAUAGUAAAUGCUCUGGCAAGUGUCCCUAAAUUCUAUGUACAGGUGCUCCAUCUUAUGAAUAAAAUGAACUUGCCCACACCAUUUGGACCGAUUACUGCACGACCUCCUAUGUAUGAGGACUAUAUGCCAUUGCAUGCACCCCUUCCACCUACAUCACCUAGACCACCUGAGGAACCUCCCCUACCAGAUGAGGAUGAGGAUUUAUCUAGUAAAGAAUCAGAAUAUGAAAGCAGUGAUGAGGAAGACCGACAGAGAAUGAAUAAACUAAUGGAACUAGCAAAUCUUCAGCCAAAAAGACCCAAAACAGUAAAGCCACGCCAAGUAAGAAAAAAGCGAAAAAUAAAGGAUAUGUUGAAUGUGCCUUCAUCAACUUCACAUAGUUUGCAUCCUGUGCUGUUACCUUCAGAUGUAUUUGACCAACCGCAACCUGUAGGUAAUAAAAAAAUUGAAUUUAAUAUAUCUACCAACAUGCCAGCAGCAAUUAAGAACGAUUUGGAGAAGAAACAAAAUAAUGAGGAAAAAAAUUCUGAUUCACCAGAAACUGGAGAUGAUGAUUCAAAUACAGGAUUUGGAAAAAUUUUCCCCAAACCUAACUUGAACACCACAGAAGAGAUUAAAGAAGACUCUGAUGAAAUGCCCUCACAGUGUAUUUCUAGAAGGGAAUUGGAAAAGGGUCGAAUUUCUAGAGAAGAAAUGGAAACACUUUCAGUUUUCAGAAGUUACGAACCUGGUGAACCAAACUGCAGAAUUUAUGUAAAGAAUUUAGCUAGACAUGUUCAGGAAAAGGAUCUUAAAUUUAUCUUCGGAAGAUAUGUUGAUUUUUCUUCAGAAACACAGCGGAUCAUGUUUGAUAUUCGCUUGAUGAAAGAAGGCCGCAUGAAAGGACAAGCUUUUGUUGGACUUCCAAAUGAAAAAGCAGCAGCAAAAGCCUUAAAAGAAGCUAAUGGCUAUGUUCUUUUUGGAAAACCCAUGGUGGUUCAGUUUGCUCGAUCUGCUAGACCAAAGCAAGAUUCUAAAGAAGGAAAACGAAAGUGAUAAAAAUGAAGAAGGAAGCAUUCCUGCGUAAAUACUGCUGUAAUACUGUCAUACAAGUGUAUCCUUUCUUGUAUCCUUUUGGGGCAGUGGUUUUGUUUAUUUACCUUCUAUCAUUUAUCCAGGUUAAGGAAUACUUUUUAUUCAAAUGAAACAUUUCUUUAAUUAGUUUUGUAUCCUGGACAAACAUUAUGUAUUUUAGACAUACUGUUUAAUUUUUUACAUUAUAUAAACCCAGGAGGUUUUUUUUGUUGUUGUUUUUGUUUUUUUUUUUCAGCGAAAGUUAGUGAAUCAGGUCACUUUGUUUAUACAUUGGUUUUACCACAGAAAUUGGUAAUAUUUCUUAUAAUGUGAAUUUCCUCAAUCUAAUUCAGGAACAUGCUUUUUUUUUAUGUCAUAUCACAUAUAGGUGUUGUUUUACUUUCAUUUUUAUUGCUGUGACAAAUACCCUCACAAAAAAAGCAACUUAGGGAAAAAGGGAUUCAUUUGUCUUACAAUUCAAGGUUUCAGUCCAUUGUUGUGGGGAAGUCAAGGCAUGAAUUGAGGUGUAAUAGCCACAGUCAAGAGCAAAGAUAGAGCAUAAAUCUUAUAACUUCCUUAUUCUGAGCUAGCUUUUUCCUGUCUUAAUCUGUUCAUGGCUUCCUUUCCUAAGGAAUGGUGCUGCCCAAAGUUGGCUGCAUCUUACCUCACUGAACAAUCAAGCCUGCUGUGCCCUCCGACCAACAUAGUCUGAUAAUGCUUUAUUAAGACUUUUUCCAGGCAACCCAACGUUCUGUCAGGUUAACAGUUAAAGCUAUCCAGUACAGUUGUUUUGUAUAACAUGUUCUAAAAUUUGACUUGGAAAGGAUCUUCUCUUAGUUUUAAAUAUAUUGAAAACUAACAAGAUUUCUGUAGCUACAGUAACAGAUUUCACAUUGAAAAUGUAUUGAAAUGUCCUUGACAAGUGGAAGGAUUUCCUUUAAUCUGUUUUUUGUUUUUCAAAACAAAAACAUCCAAAAACAAUAUAUAUAUAUUUUAUGUAUAUGUAUCUAUAUACAUAUAUAUAUGAAAAGAUAAACAGAUAAGACACGUUAGACUUUGUAUAAGUCAGUAAAUUACCUUCCAGAAAUAAGAAAAAUAAUUACAGACUGUAUGAUGACUAGAAUCUACCAGAACAGUCAGUUUCAAAUUCUGCACAUUUAAAUCCUGAGAACUUUAAAUACAAAAUGUUGACGUACCUGUUGAUGCUUGUUUUCCUCCUUAGAGUUUGAUUCUCGUGUUUUAACAUGAAGAGAACCACCCAGGAUGAUAGUCCGAUGUAUAAAUAUUUCUAUAGUCUAUUCACGUAGAGCUAAUAAAUCGAAAAUCACUUCAAAUAACAUCCAGUAAUAUAAUUUGAAAAGUUCCCUUAGUAAUAGAGGACCUAACAGAUUUGGAUGCUGCUUUGUUAAACUGGUUGGCCACUGAGUAUUAACUUUGUCACCAGUAUAUACAUAUAUGUGUAUAUAUAUGUGUGUAUAAAUGUGUGCAUAUAUAUAUAUAUAUAUACACACACAUAUAAAAUAUAUAUAUAUACAUAUUAGGAAAAUAAAUAACCUCAGUGUUUGUGAGAAAUUUUGCUAUUAUAAGUGCUGCGAAACUUUUCAAGUUCUGUUACUUGUAACCCAAAGAGUAGAAGCUUACCAAAUUUGAUAUUGCAGUCCCUUGAUGAACACAUUUGAAAUAUUUUAAAUAUUAGUAGCUGUUAUUUACAGACAUUUUGUUUUGCUGACAUGAUUCACUAAUUUUCCAUAUAUAAAUAUUUGAGCUUUGUAAAGUUAAUUAACUCAAUUAUUAUGAUUCAUUUAAUGGACUUUUGUGGUGUUUUAGGUUCCUUCUGAAUUCUAUAUCUUUCAAGUACUAUGGAACUUGGAGAGAAGAAAUUGACUGCCUGGACUAUGAACUAGAAAAGAAAGAAGAAGGAGGAAAAAAAUGAGCAGACACCGGAGAGAUGGCCUCCCAAGAACAAUCUCUUGAAAUGAGUCAUCCCUCAGCUUGUAGCUGCCCCCUUCUGUGAAGAUAUUUUUCUCUCAAGCUCAUCCAUUCCUCCCAGUCUUGAGACCCACAAUAGGCUGAGGCUGUUCUCCGGCACAUAUGAGCCUCAACUUCAUUAGAACUUUCGUGCAUAAAGUUUAUUUCACCUAUA